rnacentral:rRNA from 1 species
GACAGAGGGUGCAAACGUUGUUCGGAAUUAUUGGGCGUAAAGCGCACGUAGGCGGUUUUCCAAGUCGGAUGUGAAAGCCCGGGGCUCAACCCCGGAAGUGCAUCCGAAACUGGUUCACUUGAGUCCCGGAGAGGGUGGUGGAAUUCCUGGUGUAGAGGUGAAAUUCGUAGAUAUCAGGAGGAACACCCGUGGCGAAGGCGACCACCUGGACGGUGACUGACGCUGAGGCGCGACAGCGUGGGGAGCGAACGGG